AAAAAAAAAUAAAAAAAUAAAAAAGAUAAAAAAAAUUAAAAAAAAUCAACACAUGUUGCCUUGCU
rnacentral:ribozyme from 16 species